GGUUAGAUGAAAGUUGUCCAUGGGGUUUCUGACCUCAAUGCAAUUUUAUGCUUUCAAUGGAUUGUUGACGUGGAAAAAGGUCUUAAUGAAGCAGAAACGACAUUUCAUGCCUUUGGUCCAGAAGAAGGGGCUGGCUGACAUGUAAAUAAUAUGCCUCAGGAAACAAAUUUAUUUUUCAAGACUUCUGAGGCAGUUGUAUCGGUGCUAUAUAGCAUUUAAAUGACAACAAACUCUGUCCUCACUGAUAACGGAUGGCUGUUAGAAACACUUUUCUUCUCCUUAGAAUAAUAAUAUCUUUUGGAUCCUUCUUCGAACCUGGACAUGGAGAACGGUUGACCAAUCAUCUUUGGCAUUUGGCCAUUGGGCCUGAGAGAUAGCCAGCAUCAGUAGAGUGCCAGGGAUGGUGACAAAGCAGAUAGUUACUUGUGCUUAGACAUAGCUCUCUACUAUCUGAAGAAAAAUAAACCUCCCAUUCUCACAGUGACAAAUGAAGGAUCAAGCCUGCAUAGUUCCAAGCCUUUACUUCUUGUAUAGCGUGGAAAUAACUCCAUUCUGUCUCACCAAUGCCCUGGAGUAUGAGAGCAGGACUUGGGGUUCUUGACUUUUUGCUUAUGGCUGACAGCUGUCAGAGCUGCUAUAUUCAAGUGUCCCCCACAGUUGCCCUGUGCUGAGGCACAAAGUCUUCCUAUGACUUCUCAAUAAUCCAGGUUUGCUACCUACCCUUGAAGUUCCUUUAGGCCUACCAUGACUUUGCAGUUCUUUCUUUAUUGGUACUAUCUAUUUUUUGUCAAUGUAUUUAUAGUUAGAGUUAAUGCCUAGGAACUAUCCCAUAAUCCUAGUAAUUACUAUCUGUAAAAUUAAGUAACUGAAAUGUUUUCUCUUAAUAGCUCUCUAAUCAUACCGCUUUAAAUCUCUCUUCCCAUUCAAUCACAUCUGUAAACAUCAUCAUGGUAAUAAAACUUAGAAGAAUAUACAGAAGUAAAUAUCCAUGAUCUUGGGUUAGGAAAUGAUUUCUUAGAUGCAACAGGAAAAGCACAAGUAGUAAAAGACUAUUAACUUGGGCUUCAUCAAAAUUAAAGAACUUUUGUGCAUCAAAGGACACCAGCAGGAAGGUGUAAAGACAGUCUGCAGACUGGGAAAAAAAAAUUGCAAAUCAUAUAUUUGAAAAUAAAUCCAGACUCUAUAAAGAACUGUUACAACUCCAUAAUAAAAUGACAAUCCAAUUUUAAAAUGGGCAAAGGAUAAGAAUACAUAUUUCUUUUAA